CUCCGCCCCGCCGUCAUCCCGCCCCUCGGGGAAGGCAGCUGGGAGGCCGACCCGCUUCCCGCCCCUCCGCUCGCACCUGGGCAGGCGUCCCUGAAAGUGAGAGGUGUGGGGAGUUGGAUCGCUGCCCGCUGUUUCAGUUGCGGGGUGGGGGGGGCGUCUUUGCGCCUCCCCAGGCGCAGCCUCGUUCCGAAGAAUCUUUAAAUGGGAGCGCAUGAGCAGAAAAGUGGGGGCCUCUCCACGCUCACCGUCACCCCCUUCCGCCCCCGCCCCCGCAGGGGUGACAGCCAGAAAAUGAGUUCCUGCUAACAGGCCAGCCCCUGCUGCCCCGUCUGUGAACAGCUGUUUGCUCCAGCACGGGGACACAGGUUCAAGCCCUGAUCCGGGAAGAUCCCACAUGCUGCAGAGC